AGGGUUGUAGUUAAAUAUAACAUUUGGGUUGCAUUCAAAAAAUAUUGAUUAAAUCAAUUAACCUUA
rnacentral:tRNA from 1 species